rnacentral:rRNA from 1 species
UACAGAGGGUGCAAACGUUGCUCGGAAUCAUUGGGCGUAAAGCGCACGUAGGCGGCCUAGCAAGUAGGGAGUGAAAGCCCUCGGCUUAACCGAGGAAGUGCUUUCUAAACUACUAGGCUUGAAUACUGGAGAGGGUCGCGGAAUUCCCGGUGUAGAGGUGAAAUUCGUAGAUAUCGGGAGGAACACCAGUGGCGAAGGCGGCGACCUGGACAGUGACUGACGCUGAGACGCGAAAGCGUGGGGAGCAAACAGG